GGGAUUGCCCCAGUAACGGCGAGUGAAGCGGCAACAGCUCAAAUUUGAAAUCUGGCCUCCUCCGGGGGUCCGAGUUGUACUUUGCAGAGGGUGCUUUGGCGUGGGCGGCGGUCUAAGUUCCUUGGAACAGGACAUCGCAGAGGGUGAGAAUCCCGUACGUGGGCGCCCGUCCCCGCCGUGUAAAGCCCCUUCGACGAGUCGAGUUGUUUGGGAAUGCAGCUCUAAAUGGGAGGUAAAUUUCUUCUAAAGCUAAAUACCGGCCAGAGACCGAUAGCGCACAAGUAGAGUGAUCGAAAGAUGAAAAGUACUUUGGAAAGAGAGUCAAAUAGCACGUGAAAUUGUUGUAGAGGAAGCGCUUGCAGCCAGACGUCCCCGUAGUCGCUCACCCGGUCUCCUGACCGGGGCACUCUUCUGCGGGGAGGCCAGCAUCAGUUUGGGCGGUCGGAGAAAGGCCUCUGUCACGUACCUCCCUCCGGGGAGGCCUUAUAGGGGAGGCGCAAUGCGACCAGCCCGGACUGAGGUCCGCGCAUCUGCCAGGAUGCUGGCGUAAUGGCUGUAAGCGGCCCGUCUUGAAACACGGACCAAGGAGUCUAACAUCUAUGCGAGUGUUUGGGUGUCAAGCCCGGGCGCGCAAUGAAAGUGAACGGAGGUGGGAACCCUCGGGUGCACCAUCGACCGAUCCUGAUGUCUUCGGAUGGAUUUGAGUACGAGCAUAGCUGUUGGGACCCGAAAGAUGGUGAACUAUGCUUGAAUAGGGUGAAGCCAGAGGAAACUCUGGUGGAGGCUCGCAGCGGUUCUGACGUGCAAAUCGAUCGUCAAAUUUGGGCAUAGGGGCGAAA
rnacentral:rRNA from 1 species